ensembl:lncRNA
GGGGGGGUGUCAAAGGAGCUGCGUUAAUGGAGUAAACUGGAGGGCCAGUAAAGGCCUGCAGCCCCAGUCCAGUGGAGUCCAGCUGUGGAUGAGCAUCGCCCGGGUCUCCUCUGUCGGCCGCUCAGCAUCCAGACUCUGCUGGUCCUCCAGCUCCUAUUUAUGCGUUGAGAGCAGAGUUCAGGAUUUAGUUACGAACAUAGAUUAUUACUAUUAUAUUAUCAUUUUGUAUUUUUUUAUCAUCAUUUGUGCAGCUCGCAGGCUAAACUCCUUAAACAGUUUUGGACCAGAGUGCAGUGAUUUGGUUAAAUACACGGCAUGACCUCCAGCGUAAGUCAGAGAGCAGUAUUAAACAAAAAGGUCCAUUCUAUUUUUACACAAAACAAGCGUUUAAACGAUGCUUCUCCCCCCUCAGACAUUCGUCGGGCUUCAAGAAGGGCUCCGUGGCGAUUGAUUGAUUUGGAUUAUCUGGCACUUUUCCACAGCAGGAUGGGCUGUAGCUGUAGAGAUAUCUACACACGUAUAUGGCACCGCCUCUCGCAUCACAUUUGGAUCCACUUUUGUAAAUAUUGUAUAACUUUAAAAGUCAUGGCUUCAUCCCUGUUUCUUUUUUCUCCACUGGGGCACUUUUGGGAUUGAUGUUUUCAAAAACAGUUUGAGUUCAUAGAAUCCAGUCUAGCCUUCCUCCUGCCUUGUGUUUGUGUGCUAUUUAACGUUCAUUCUGUCUCCGGAAUUAUGCUCGUUUUUUUUUUUUUAUUGUCAUUAUGAUAUUAUUUUCUAUUCAUGUGAAAUCAAUUUCAUUUCUUUAAAUUGUCGGAGGAGCUCUGUUUUGCCUUUUAGGGUCGGCUUUGAGAUACCAAUCAAAGUAUACUGCUUCGAGGAGUUCAGAUUAAUCGAUAACACCGUUGUAGAGAAUUGUCCAUAAUGAAUCAGGAUAAAAACCGAGAUACGCAUCUUGAUUAGUGGGUUUGAAAAGAAAGAUAAAAAUGCCUUUAUAGAUCCCCUCCCUCUCCCCAAGAAAAAUUUUUGGGAUGUUCUAAAACUGGCAGCAUAUGAUCCAAACAUUAUUACUAUUAUUGUUAUUAUUACUAUUAUUAAACAGGGUGUUAUUUUAAUUUUGUGUGUGAAGGCGUUGCCAUGCGUUUCAUUUCAGCCAUUUUGUUUAUCCUUCGUCUAUGUUGCUGUAUUACAAGAGGGAACUUGCUCCUUAGACAUUUUAUUUUAUUUUUCAGCACUGUUAGUGAGAUUGUAAUUUAUUAUACAAUGGCUUUUAUAGCUGACACAAAAAUCCGAGAUAUAUAUGAAAUAGAGACACGUUUGGUGUUUCCUUUGAGCGGGAUUGUCGCAGCCUAAAACACAACUAAAUGUAUAUACAUCUGUUCUCCGUAGCUUGCUUGGUGUCUGGUUUUAUGCAAAAACAGACAUCCAGGGACUUGUCUUAUUUUCCGUCUCAUGUGAAACAAUACUUUUCUAUCCCCCAAACCCCCCCCCCCCCCUGAGUUAUUUGUCCCCCGCAGAAAACCACAAGCAGGACACGUUUGUGGCGUUGAAAUAUCUCCUCGGUAGCUUUAAUUAAUCAAAUUCAUCUCAUAAUUCAAUGGAAUUCCAAGUUGUGGGACGUAGACCUGUAGCAACCCGACGCUGUUUUUGUUGUUUUAUUUAAUUGCUUGUUAAACCAGUCGUUGUUUUUUUUUUUUUUUUUUUUUGGGGGGGGGGGGGGGGGGGGGGGGGGGGUAUAUAGGCUAUGUCAUAUCCACUGGAUGAACUUGGGGUAGAAACAGCAGAGGUGAUAAAUGUCUGUAGGUGUUUCAUCACUUGACACACGAACAACAGACUUGCACAUUUUGAAAUAACGGGGUUGAUAUUAAACAGCUUUUUUCCAACGUCCAGGCUGAAUGUAUUUUUUAUUUUUUUUCCCAUUGUGCGAAAGAGAAACCGCUGCUGUCGUGACAUCCGCAUAUCUGCUCCAGCAUCUGCGCUCCAGACAGGCUUCCUGCUUCCAGCUCCUUCGCUUGGGUGGAAUUAAUGGUUGAGAGAAAAUCAGGGUUGAUGAAUGGAAGAUUGCGAGCCGACGAUGUGUUGUUUGUGCCCGGGGCUGCUUUCAGGUGGACCGGCUUCGGCUGGGAAAACCUCAGCUUCCGGUUCGGGUUAAAUCAGGGCUUCUCAAAGUGGGGUUGGAGGACCAAUAGCGGUCCUCAGGAGGACUCAAAGGGUUCCAACGUGACAAAUCCCCUGCGGUUUUAUGGGGUUUCCCGUUCUGUCUUCACAGUCACACUCUAAAACAAUAUUAUGUAUUGUCUCGUAUAACAUGUCAAACAAAUUCUAUUUCCAAUGUAACCUCAUGAAAUUCAUCCUUAAAAUUCACAAAGUUAGUUUAUUCAUGAUCAUUCCUCUGCUUUUUGUCAAAUAUGUUUUUUCGCUAUCUUUGUCUAAAGUGAAAAAAUAUAAGAGACAAAAAUGUUAUGCUUUUAAUUUGGCUUCACUUGGGUUGAUUGAUUGAAAUUGAGCCCUUUACAGUUAAGCGUAUAAGAACAACCAGACUUUAAACAGCAUGAGAGAUUGUGACAUUGUCCUGUUUUUAUUCCAAAUUGACGGCUUUGCUUUUGUCCGGAUUCAAACAGAGAGUUCAGGAUCAAUAGAUAACACAUAUUUCACCAGGGAAACUCUAACUGAAAGUGAUAUUGACAGCGGUGACCCUGAUGGUGAUUUCAUAUUCACUGUGGAACGUCAUUCUUUCGAUAAUAUUCCCACCGGAACCUGUGGUGAGAUAUUUGCAUGAGCAUCUCCUCUGGCUCGUUAUAUUCUGGAGCAAACGGGCAGAAUGCAGAGUUGUUUACCAACAAAACGCCAGACGUGUUUGCCCUCCGCGGGCGUCUCAAUAAUAUGAAUUACAAUUGGAUCGUUGUCAACUUCAAAAUGUCUGCAGCAGUCGGGUGAGAUUUACCUCUGAAGGAGCCGAUCGAUCGGAAAUCGAUAUCCGAUUGGUUACUGAUGACGUAACCAAUGCAAUAAUUACCGUAAACGAACGAACACAACAACUGUGUAUUGAAAUAACUAUUUUCUGAAGCAUCUUUAAGAAUCCACCCUCUCUGCAAUUAAACGCCAGGGAUAUUUCUUUUAUUUUUUAAUUUCUGAAUAAAAAGUGAGAUACAAGUAGCGGCCUUCCGUGGCAAAAACAGAUCACCAGCACGCAGAGGAAGACAAAGGGAUUUCUUAUUCUCACGCGCGUGGUUACUCGUUGCACCGGGUGCAUCUGGCAGUGCGGUUCUUUGACUUGUUUUGCGGGAUUCUAAACACACACUCCUCUGGAAUACAGCGGUGAAGGUUACAGAUCACAUCUGCAUCAAUGCGCUGCACAUCUCUGCUGCGGGUCGGUUAUUGAUGCGCGGGGGGGGUAGAAUAAAACGUCGCCCUCUCUGCAUCAUCGUCGCCCCACUUCUGACCUGCCAUUUGGAUGCCUGGCACGAAACGACACCCGGAAAUAAAGCCCCGUGUCGGAUCUCCGCGGUCUUUUUGCGGAGCCCGGUAAUCACAAAAAGUGCGCCCCGGCGCCCUUCAUCCGCUCUCUGGUAGAUGCAAUUAAUAGCGCGUCGCGUUAAUUACACCUUCCGUUUUAUUUAGGUGACUUGAAAUUUCCCAUUAGGCAUCCAAGGAGGAAUUAAAAAAAAAAAAAGAUUACUCCGCCGUCCUGGUGUUGAGCCGAGGAGAAGCAGAGAGGGAUCAUCGGUGUUCUAGCGCCACCUAGCGGCCCGAGGGUGAGUCCAAGCCGUGAUGUCAUCUUAACGUAUAGGAGGGCUUUGGGUCAAUGGAAUCAACGAGCACAGUCACAUCUUUACCAAACCAGCUUAUGGCCGAAAUGUUAAGCAGAGGCUGAAUGUAACGUUUGCUGUCUGAUGGAGAUGUAGAAGCAUUGUGUGACAUAACGACAAAGAUAGUAAGGGUCAUCAUCUGCAGCGCCUUUUGUUGGACUGUGUUUCUACCAAAUGAUCACUUUAUUUUCAUUAAAGUAACAUUUUAGAAAUGUCAGAAUAACAUACUUAUUGCCCAAAGGAAUAACAUUAGGUGUAUUGUAUAGACAGUUUUGGGAAGCAACAAUAACAUAUUGGUAGAGCCUUUGUUCACAAGGCAUUUUAUU